UACAGAGGUGGCAAGCGUUGUUCGGAAUUACUGGGCGUAAAGGGCGCGUAGGCGGCCUUGUAAGUCCUGUGUGAAAUCCCCCGGCUCAACUGGGGAACUGCACAGGAGACUGCUUGGCUUGAGUUCGGGAGAGGGAAGCGGAAUUCCGGGUGUAGCGGUGAAAUGCGUAGAUAUCUGGAGGAACACCGGUGGCGAAGGCGGCAUCCUGGACCGAGAUUGACGCUGAGGCGCGAAAGCUAGGGUAGCAAACGGG
rnacentral:rRNA from 1 species